CCCUUUUCGCGCCCGCGAGGCCUCACUCACUCUCUGCUGCAAUUUUCGUGAGGAGAUUUGGAAAAUUCUGGCUGUCUUCAUAGUUAAAGCUCCAUUUCUCCGGACCAGUGGCAGGUGAACUUGGAACAUGCCAGCAGUACAGGCAGUACAAUGAUGGACAGACAUUCAUUUCUUGCUUUAAAGCAUGCUACCAUUUGCGGUUGUGGAUUUUUUGCAUGGUGGAGGUGUGGCAAUAUUACCCUGCAAGUGGUUUACUGGACCAGAGGAAGAUACAUGUUACUGGCCACCAGGACGACUCAACAUAAGCAAGGCAGUAAAAGAUGAAAUUCUUCCGAACCCUACUUGGCCCCAGUUCAAAGUGCGUGUCCUGGGAAAAGCAGGAACCUAAGCCCACGCCACAGAAAAGCUUUUAAAGGCCGAAGCGACGUCAGAUUCUGGAAGGCGGAUGGGAAAAGGGAAUCGCAAAAGAAAUAUGGAUCAUGGUGGCCAUGGAUCAUGGUGACCAUCGGAAGCUGCUGAUAGUGGAGAGUGGAUAUCAGGACUGAUGAGAUUUAUUAAAAAUAACACAUGCAGCUGGUGUGUGUGUGUGUGUUCACAUGUAUGUAUGUUUGU